ACAGCCUUAGUGCCCAGCCUUAGCAUGUCAUUAUUCCAAGUGACGUUUCUUCCCUUCCCAUUCACUCCUUUCAGUCCUUGGAGGGUGGCUGUCCUAAGGCCAGCUGAGCUCAGGGGUGGAGUGGGCUCUCACUCGGGGACGCGAGACCACAGUGUCUACUCUGCAGCCGUGAUUAUUGUUAGUUACCAUUUAAUGCUGGUCAACAGAAGACAGAUGGCCUAGAUCCUCAAUGAGAAGGAUUUACAGUCUCUGAGCAAGGACACGAGAGCGACAAAACAAAGCAGGGCAAAACUUGGAGGCCUUGGGCCCCCGGGGGAAGUUCUGGAGAGGACUUUGGACUUUAGCUGCACAUGGAGCUUGAGUUGGCCUAGACCCCCAAGGAACAGAGGACGCCAGCUGAAAUCCAGGUAAGAAUCAUUAAGUGAUGCCUCUCUCCUUGUGGCUGGAGCAGGAGAGUGGAAGGCCAGGAGCAUUCCCGACAGUCAUUUUGUUAAGAAAACCCAGGCCUGGGAAUCAAAACAGCUCUCUUCCCCCGCCUCGCAAACGAAGAAGACAGAUGAAAAGUCUGGAAACUCCCACCCAAUUAAGAAAUGCUUGCCCCAGAAAGGAACAUUAGAAAGUUGAGCUGCUAAGAGCAAUUUAGAGCCCGCAGCCAGGCUUCCAUUCUGCUGCCAUUUCUAGAAUGUCUUAGAAAGACAGAUUUUAUAAUUGAAAAUUAAAACAUUUGACAUGCAAAUGUAAGAGUUAAUUUUUCC